GAUGAACGCUGGCGGCGUGCCUAAUACAUGCAAGUCGAGCGAACGGACGAGAAGCUUGCUUCUCUGAUGUUAGCGGCGGACGGGUGAGUAACACGUGGAUAACCUACCUAUAAGACUGGGAUAACUUCGGGAAACCGGAGCUAAUACCGGAUAAUAUUUUGAACCGCAUGGUUCAAAAGUGAAAGACUGUCUUGCUGUCACUUAUAGAUGGAUCCGCGCUGCAUUAGCUAGUUGGUAAGGUAACGGCUUACCAAGGCAACGAUGCAUAGCCGACCUGAGAGGGGAACCGCCACACUGGAACUGAGACACGGUCCAGACUCCUACGGGAGGCAGCAGUAGGGAAUCUUCCGCAAUGGGCGAAAGCCUGACGGAGCAACGCCGCGUGAGUGAUGAAGGUCUUCGGAUCGUAAAACUCUGUUAUUAGGGAAGAACAUAUGUGUAAGUAACUGUGCACAUCUUGACGGUACCUAAUCAGAAAGCCACGGCUAACUACGUG
rnacentral:rRNA from 1 species